AAACUACGAAGCCAAGGUUGGCUUUUUUAAAUCCAUCGCUUAUCUUUUUGAGUUGUAGACCUGAAACAUCAGAGAAGACUACCAACACACAAAUAUAUUGUAAUGAGCCCAAAAAGAUAUUUCGAACAACAACCUCAUGCCGAGGUAAGUGAACCUCAUACUGAGGUAAGUGAACCUCAUACUGAGGUAAGUGAACCUCAUACUGAGGUAAAGGAAGGCAAAACAAAUGCCUAACAGCUUCGUACUGAGUUAAACAAUGACUACCAAGAAGCAUAAGGUCCUCAUACUGAGGUAAUGUUCGUGAAUGGUUUCUU
rnacentral:lncRNA from 1 species